ensembl:lncRNA
CAACAAUAUAGUUACUGGCCUACAAACAAUCAGACAAAACGGGCCAAAAAAGAAGAAGUCCCUGACGAAGAGAUCUGGAGCACACGAAAAAUCCGUGUUUUUGCCCAAACUGAUGAUUUUGAGAGGGCAUUAAGGUGGAGUAAAAAUGCUGAAUUGAAUUCCUCUGUAGAAAGCGAGAGAGGCCAACCAGAAAACCAAGCAGAUUCGAAGACACCAGCGAUGAUGAGUGGGGAAGAGACACCUGGAUGCCUAACUUAAAGAGAAAGCGUCAAGAUGAACCCUUUCCUCGCCUCAAGGCAACAGCUGUAAGAAAAAGGCCAAACAAAGCAGAAGCAGCUAAACUUCCAGUUCCACCCAAGCUGCAACCAACCUUCACAGAAUCUUCCCACCAUCCCACCUGUGACCCUUCAGUUCCCUCAUCACAAGAUUUACCUGAAGAUGUUGAAGAGCCUCCCAGACCAUCCUCAAUGGCAGCAACAGAAUAUUCAAAUGCAGAGAGACAACCAUGGACAAGGCCUCCACAAGAUUUUUCAGUGCCAAAAGACCUCAAAGAAACAUUGCAGGUGCUGCUGCAGAAAGUAGAAAGCCUGAGGGAAAUUCUACUUUUACUGCGGAGGAACCAGGGUCGUCAAAGGGAGGAUGAUAUCUUGGACCUCAAGACAGCUCAGUGCAAGGAGGAAUUGGAGGACCUUGAGAACCACCUUAAGGACCCUAAUUUAGAAAGAAAGUGGUGGGUGCCAACUUAAAUCAGAAAACUAUAAAAAUAAAAUGAUCCAACUUUCUCUUUGCA